AGUGAACGCUGGCGGUAGGCCUAACACAUGCAAGUCGAACGGCAGCACAGUAAGAGCUUGCUCUUACGGGUGGCGAGUGGCGGACGGGUGAGGAAUACAUCGGAAUCUACUUUUUCGUGGGGGAUAACGUAGGGAAACUUACGCUAAUACCGCAUACGACCUACGGGUGAAAGCAGGGGAUCUUCGGAUCUUGCGCGAUUGAAUGAGCCGAUGUCGGAUUAGCUAGUUGGCGGGGUAAAGGCCCACCAAGGCGACGAUCCGUAGCUGGUCUGAGAGGCUGAUCAGCCACACUGGAACUUGACCACGGUCCAGACUCCUACGGGAGGCAGCAGAGGGGAAUAUUAGACAAUAGUGGGAAGCCUGGUCCAGCCAUACCGCGUGGGUGGAGAAGGCCUUCGGGUUGUAAAGCCCUUUUGUUGGGAGAGAAAAGCAGCAGGUUAAUACCCCGCUGUUCUGACGGUACCCAGAGAAUAAGCACCGGCUAACUUCGUG
rnacentral:rRNA from 1 species